rnacentral:rRNA from 1 species
UGGGGAAUAUUGGACAAUGGGCGGAAGCCUGAUCCAGCAACGCCGCGUGAGGGAUGACGGCCUUCGGGUUGUAAACCUCUUUCAGUACCGACGAAGCGGAAGUGACGGUAGGUACAGAAGAAGCACCGGCCAACUACGUGCCAGCAGCCGCGGUAAUACGUAGGGUGCGAGCGUUGUCCGGAAUUAUUGGGCGUAAAGGGCUCGUAGGCGGUUUGUCGCGUCGGGAGUGAAAACACUGGGCUUAACUCAGUGCUUGCUUCCGAUACGGGCAGACUAGAGGCAUGCAGGGGAGAACGGAAUUCCUGGUGUAGCGGUGAAAUGCGCAGAUAUCAGGAGGAACACCGGUGGCGAAGGCGGUUCUCUGGGCAUGUCCUGACGCUGAGGAGCGAAAAGUGUGGGGAGCGAACAGGAUUAGAUACCCUGGUAGUCCACACCGUAAAACGUUGGGCGCUAGGUGUGGGGGCCUAUUCCAUGGGUUCCGUGCCGCAGCUAACGCAUUAAGCGCCCCGCCUGGGGAGUACGGCCGCAAGGCUAAAAACUCAAAAGGAAUUGAC